rnacentral:rRNA from 1 species
AUUGAACGCUGGCGGCAGGCCUAACACAUGCAAGUCGAGCGGAGUGGCGGACGGGCGAGUAAUGCCUAGGAAUCUGCCUGGAAGUGGGGGAUAACGUCAGGAAACGGGCGCUAAUGCAGCAUCCUAUCAGAAGAGCCUAGGUCGGAUUGGCUAGUUGGAGGGGUAAGGGCCUAACAAGGCGACGCUCCGAAACUGGUCUGAGAGGAUGAUCAGUCAACCUGGGACUGAUCCACGGUCCAGACUCCUACGGGAGGCAGCAGUGGGGAAUAUUGGACAAUGGGCGAAAGCCUGAUCCAGCCAUGCCGCGUGUGUGAAUAAGGUCUUCGGAUUGUAAAGCACUUUAAGUUGGGAGGCGGUACCAACAGAAUAAGCACCGGCUAACUUCGUGCCAGCAGCCGCGGGAAUUC